CUGAAGCAAGCACGAGCCCUUCCUUCCGAGAUCCAGUGUCAAGAGUGAGCGGGAUGAGGAUGGGACUCCAAGCACAGCUAGCCAAGAAUCUACUCUUGAUUCCUGGUACCAGAAUCAGGAAAGCAUCCAGCUCUUCCUUCCCAAGUGGGUGAUUAACAGUCUGUGUAAAGUUUGCUCUCCCCACUGGAAUGCUGCAGCAACACAUCCCUUCAGCCACAGAUGCCUUCUCCAACAACAUGAAUGUGAAUAACAAUGAA